GAUGAACGCUGGCGGCGUGCCUAAUACAUGCAAGUCGAGCGAACAGACGAGGAGCUUGCUCCUCUGACGUUAGCGGCGGACGGGUGAGUAACACGUGGAUAACCUACCUAUAAGACUGGGAUAACUUCGGGAAACCGGAGCUAAUACCGGAUAAUAUAUUGAACCGCAUGGUUCAAUAGUGAAAGACGGUUUUGCUGUCACUUAUAGAUGGAUCCGCGCCGCAUUAGCUAGUUGGUAAGGUAACGGCUUACCAAGGCGACGAUGCGUAGCCGACCUGAGAGGGUGAUCGCCCACACGGGAACGGGGCCACGGUCCAAAUCCCUACGGGAGGCAGCAGUAGGGAUUCUCCCGAAAGGGGCGAAAGCUUAACGGACAACGGCGGGUUGAGUGAUAAGGUUCUUCGGAUGGAAAACCUCUGUUAUUAGGGAAGAAAAAAUGUGUAGGUAACUAUGCACGUCUGGCCGGUACCUAACAGGAAACCCCCGGCUACCUC
rnacentral:rRNA from 1 species